rnacentral:rRNA from 1 species
AUUGAACGCUGGCGGCAUGCCUUACACAUGCAAGUCGAACGGUAACAGGUCUUCGGAUGCUGACGAGUGGCGAACGGGUGAGUAAUACAUCGGAACGUGCCUAGUAGUGGGGGAUAACUACUCGAAAGAGUGGCUAAUACCGCAUGAGAUCUACGGAUGAAAGCAGGGGAUCGCAAGACCUUGUGCUACUAGAGCGGCCGAUGGCAGAUUAGGUAGUUGGUGGGAUAAAAGCUUACCAAGCCGACGAUCUGUAGCUGGUCUGAGAGGACGAUCAGCCACACUGGGACUGAGACACGGCCCAGACUCCUACGGGAGGCAGCAGUGGGGAAUUUUGGACAAUGGGCGAAAGCCUGAUCCAGAAAUGCCGCGUGCAGGAUGAAGGCCUUCGGGUUGUAAACUGCUUUUGUACGGAACGAAAAGCCCCAGGUUAAUACCCUGGGGUCAUGACGGUACCGUAAGAAUAAGCACCGGCUAACUACGUGCCAGCCGCCGCAGUAA